UCGUUGUUUUUUUUUUCGUCUCCAACUUCCACCACCAUCGCCCCAUGCUUCUUUUUUCUCAAUCGAUUUUUCCCCUCGACUCAAAAACCUAUCGAUCAACUUCUCUCUCUCUCUCUCUCUCUUGAUCUCUCCAAUCUCCUAUCACUUGGCCAUGUCUCUUCUAGGGUUCCCAUUUCCGCCGCCUCCCGCCUUCCUCCUCCGCCGCCGCACCUUGCCCUGGCUGCCUCGUGACCCAAACCCGCCACCCCUCUGCCUCUCCCUCUUCCUCUCCCUCGUACUCUCGUCGCCUUCUCCACCUGGACAUGGACGCACCCGCCCCAUUGCGCACGUCUGUGCGUAUUUCCCUGCAACGUCCCCAUGUCGGGAUCCGCCGCCGGCAGUCACUCGAGCGGGUUGGGGGCAUGGACGCAGCAGCCGCCCCAUUCCCCGCGUCAGUGCAUCCUCGCGUAACCCUAGAGCAUCUUCAACGUGAGAUCCGCCGCUGCCCGCCGUCUUCACUGCUCGCACGAGCUGAGCCGGCGAGCCCUCGGUUGUCUGCUCCCUCGAUCCCGCCGCUCUCCGUGGUGCCAUCUGCUGUGAAGGCCGCUGUCCACCAUCGAAGGUCGUCGGUCAGUUUGUUGUUUUCUUAAGCUACCUAAAGGAGCUCUCUAUUGACAUCAAUUUAGGAGGGCCAGCAGUAUCCUUGAUUGAGUACAGGUGUGUGCCUCGGCCUCCAGUCUGAAUGAACAACCCUUGUAUUGUCUGGUAGUGACCUAUAUGUGUUUAUGGUUCAUAAGGGAAUAAGAAAGGCCGGUAAGAUCGUCUUCUGUUGGUGAAGGUCUGUGUUAUAGAUUGUUACAACCAUUCUUUAGCUCGAGUUUUUUUAAUUGGAGAAGCCAAAAGAUGGAUUUCACAGGUCGACAAAAAAGGUUGAUGUACAUUUAUAAACCGCCUAGCAUGGAUAAGUACACCCAAUAAACAUUGCAAUGCAUCCAUAGGCUGUUCCGUGAUUUUGUAAUCUGUGACUCUUGAAAACUUGCUUUUAUGUCCUGACUCAAUAUUUGUUUUGACCAUUGGCCUUCCUAGCAGGAUGCUUGCAGUUCCAAUACCAUCAUGACUAAUUUGUGCAGUCCUCAUUUUUUAAUUCUGAGCCUUUUGUGCUUCUUAGUUGUGAUAUAGUUUGACUAGGAAAGGCAACAACAAAACUACGUCCUGGAAAUGUCAUUCUGCUUGGUCUUAUGAGUUUACUGAAUUGAAAAACUCUUGUUUCAAUGUUUUUAAUGCUCACACCAUUAUGUCAAGCAAAAUUAUGGGGUACAUGUCUUUGCUAAUACCUCCAAAUUAUUCUCUACAGUGAAGAAUCAAGCUUAUCUAUUUUAGAUCAGUGUUUUUUGUAUUCACUAAAUAAUGCCAGGGGUGAAGCCUAAACUAAGCAGUGUGCGUGAGGAAGGCAAGCGUGCUGGCGAGCGUGGGGGCGACCAUGAUGUCGCUCGGAGAAAGGGUGCACAUGGGAUUACUACCCAUUGGGUCUGCAAAUAUGAGAGGUAAAUGUUGUCACUGUAGUGCAAGGCGCGUUCUAAGUUUCAUCUUCGCACAUGAUUAUGGGCUUAUGGCAUCUGAUCAGCUUUCUCUGGACAUGCGUAAUUGCAACAUCGUCCUGAUCUUUCCAAAAAUAGAUUGUCUAUGAUUAUGAGAGUCACCACAAGAACAGACGAAAGUGGCGAGACUCGUUACGAAACAAUGCAAAUUCUUUACCCCUAGGACAGUGACAGUGCUAACAUUCAUGUAUGUAUGUUAGGAGUUACAAUAUGACAUUUUGUUUAUGUAUGUUAACAUUCAAAUAUGUUUGAUGAGAUCAAUAAUGUAUAUACGAGAUGUGAUAAAACUGAACAUAUGUUGUACUCGGCAUAUUUGAUUAAAUAUAUUAACUAACGAACCCAUACUUUAUUUAUCAUCAAGUGGCAAGGCAUGGGUAUUUAGCUCUAGUUGUGUGUGGGCUGCUCGAGCUGCGCGCCAAUGUGGAGGCCCUGCACCGCCGCCGAUGGGCUGAUUUUGUUGCACGUCGUGGUGGGGACGCCCGUGUGUGCGCUGCUUGUGCUGGGCGCUGAUGUGGUCGCCCCAGAUCAGAUGGGACGCCGUUGGAGCUGCCGCGGGAUAUGGUGGUGGUCCGUCGAUGGAGCUGGGAGCAGACGCGGAGGCAAUGGGCUCGACUCUUUGUGUGCAACUCAUGAUGACUUGGAGCACUGUCAUGGGAAGUUUUUAUUCAUCUUUACCUAUAUUUAUUGGAUUAGGUUCCAUUGGUAGGUGAGAUUCUUAUCCUAAAUGCUUUAUUCUAUUUUUGCCAAGACACUUCUCCUUAAUAUGUUUAAUAUUCAUAAUAAAUUUCUAAUGCAUUUCUAAUUAGGAUUUUUUUCUAAUGGUGAUUAAAUCUGUCAUAGCGUCAACAGGUUAAAGACGAUGUACCCUUUUCCCGUUUGGAUACCAACCAUUGCAUUCAGCAGUCAGAUCUGUUGCUUAUUUAUUUGUAGAAUCAAGUGGGUUAAAAGCAUCUACUUUUAACUAUUAACGACACUUCAAUAAAACACUCUUUUCUUAUUUGUGUGAGUACUAUUUGUUUCACCUUUUGCACCUCAUCAUCAUAGCAUCUGGUUUCAAAAAUGAAUGACUACUUGCGAAGGUAUUGUUUUUAGUUUCUACUUUUUGGUUCAACUUCUUUGAUUUUCAAUAGUUGGUCCAUUAAUCAUCUAAAAUUUUCAGUAAGAUGUUUCUACAUCAUAUUCUUGAAUGUUCCUGAUUUCACAUCCAUGGUAUCUGCUUUGCCUUAGUACCUGUUCAAGCUUCACUCAUGAUUUGUUUCUUUCUCCCUAUCAGUCUUACCAUUUUGUUUUGCUUGCUUUACCUUGUAGCUUCUUCCAGUAGUUGUUUUUUUCCUUUAUGUCAGAGCUGCUCUGUCACACUUUUUAUGCUUUUACGAUGUCCUAAUAAAAGUUUUGUGUGGGCAGAUAAUUUUUUGCUUACUACAAACCGUAAGAAACUGAAGCUUACUGAUUUGGGGCUUGCACGAGAGGAAACUAUAACUGAAAUGAUGACGACUGAAACUGGGACAUACCGAUAUGGACAUAGAGGUUAUAAAUCACUCUUUUCCACACUAGAUAGUCAAUAUUAAAAAAAUUAGGAACUAAAGCCGAAAUAAAAUGGUUCCUGGAUGUAGUUUCUCGAGUUGAUUCUUCAAAUUAUACAUCAAUUUUGUAUGCCCUCGUGAUAAAUUCCCCCCUGAAGUUUCUAGAGCGCACUGAUUUUAGGACCUUCUAUACAAAGAGAAAUCUGAUGCUCUAGAAUUUGUGUAUGAAGAUUUCUUUAAUAACAAUCGCGAAUAUAAUUAUAUUCUUCAAUUAAGUAAUAAUAAUGUAAUAUUGCAUCCUAUCAUUUACAAUCAGAUAGACAGGUGACCUUAAGUAUAAGGUUUCAAGCUAUUUAACGCUCAAUACUUGUUAUAUAAUUCUCCGUGGUAACAUCAACUGAGUUGGGCAUCAUAAUUGGCACUGAACAUCCAAAGUUAAGUUAGUGCUCACCAUUUCACGAUUAUAUUUUUGGUACUGAUAUUUUCAUAUUUCCAGUUCGUUGAAGAUAGAGAUCUGGCAUUGUAUUGAAGCUCAACUCUGCACGAAAGUGUACAACUUCACUGUUAUGUUCUGGCACUUGAAUUUGCUAUGCUUUUCAUGCCAGGAAUUUCAUGCUAGGAAUACUUACACGUUCAUUCUUAAAUCAUCUUGUUAUAUGGCAUUGUAGAUCUGAUGGAAAAGAACUUCCGUGAUAUAGGCCAGGGCGGAGGACGUUAUCAAUGGAAAACAUGGCUCCACAUGAAGGUUCACUUGCCAAUAGUCUUCAAGAAGAUGCGAAGGUCAUGGUUUUGUGUUGAUGACCCUUGAAAAAAUACCUUCUCAUUUUCUUGUUUGAAGGAACGCUAGGAGGAAUUGAGGAUGCGAAAAAUGUACAGAGGAAAGGGAGACUAGGAGAGGUGCACGGUGAGGCAUUGAUGAAUCCUAAAAAGAGAAACUUUUGUCACGGUGUUCUCAUAUCCAAACUUGAAUCAAGUAUGCUUUUUGAAUGGCUUGCACUAAAGCAGAUUAUAAUUCUUAUACUUGUGUUUUAAAUUGACUA